UGGUGGUGUGUUGGAACAUGCCUUGACUUGUUGUGCUGCCCUGAGUGAAACAGUGAGGGGGAGAGGGAGAGGGAGAGAGAGAGAGAGAGAGAGGAGCCUGUUGGUCAACAGUCUGCCAGAGUGAAGUGGUGAGGCCCUGCAGCAGCCGUGGACAGACCCCUUGUCCAUGUCAACACUCCCUGAAGACGAGCGUGGACGAAGGAGGCGCCACCGCUGCCUCGCCGCUUAUUGGUGAUUAGGUCUGUGGAAUGGGACCGGAGCAGCAGAGCAUGGCUGUGUGAGCGGCGGAACGACCAUAGAAAUGCACAGUGGAGAGGAUGUGGAGGGGAAGUGCGUAGGGCUGGUGCUGUUGGACAGCAGGAUUCGGCACAGGACCACGCCAAACCCCGCCGGGGGCUUCCAGUUUGAGGCCUUUGCCGUCCAACAACCACCGGAGCGCCGGGCUCACAGGUGGAGGUCCACGGCACGGACCAGGCAGGGUCCCGCAGGGAGGGAAGGAGGCAGGCGGUGCUGUGGGUGUUUCUCUGGCAGUGUCUUAGCUGGUUGUUGUGAGGAGUGAGAACGAAGCAAUCAGCAAGUAUACUGCCGCAGAAACUCUCCGCAAUAAGAGGCACUGGGAUCUCAGCCAUCGCGAGGAGAGGAACGAGCAAAAUACGCAAAUCAGCAUCGUGGCGAACAAGGAUCCUGCUGCUACUGUAAGUUUUUACACGUGUGCUGACGCAGUAGAAAAUGAACGAGAGCUGAGGAGCCGGAGCAGAAUGAGUUGAGGAUAGACUGACUGAGAGCGUGGCCCGCUCUGUUUUACGGCCUCUGACAUAGUUACAGUCGCAUCAAGGCAUCAAACUUCAGCACCCGGUUUUGUGCGUUUACGAUCCUUUGCUGCCAUCUGGUGACGCUUUUGUUCGUCAAAGACCGCAUCAAUCUGUACAAACCCAUGUUGUAUUUUCUCCCCACUUUGAGACAACCUAACAAUCCCCUACAGUGAGAAAAUGUCGCUUGGCUUGCCAACGUUAUGAUUUCAUAUAUUUCAUUUGCAAAUUGCGUGUGGUUUGUGUGUACAAAUGUAUUUCUGCUUCAAGCAGUCUCCCAGUUAUAUGUUAACACUGAAGGACAUGGUCAAUUCCUAAUGUAUCAGCUGUAGCUUGUUGAUGUCAUCAAAAUAAACUGUACCACAAAAUGGGAUCAAUAAAAUGUAUAUAAAGA